rnacentral:rRNA from 1 species
GAUGAACGCUGGCGGCGUGCCUAAUACAUGCAAGUCGAGCGAACAGACGAUGAGCUUGCUCCUCUGACGUUAGCGGCGGACGGGUGAGUAACACGUGGAUAACCUACCUAUAAGACUGGGAUAACUUCGGGAAACCGGAGCUAAUACCGGAUAAUAUAUUGAACCGCAUGGUUCAAUAGUUAAAGACGGUUUUGCUGUCACUUAUAGAUGGAUCCGCGCCGCAUUAGCUAGUUGGUAAGGUAACGGCUUACCAAGGCAACGAUGCGUAGCCGACCUGAGAGGGUGAUCGGCCACACUGGAACUGAGACACGGUCCAGACUCCUACGGGAGGCAGCAGUAGGGAAUCUUCCGCAAUGGGCGAAAGCCUGACGGAGCAACGCCGCGUGAGUGAUGAAGGUCUUCGGAUCGUAAAACUCUGUUAUUAGGGAAGAACAAAUGUGUAAGUAACUAUGCACGUCUUGACGGUACCUAAUCAGAAAGCCACGGCUAACUACGUG